UCUCCAUUCUGCAUGCUCUCUCGCCGGUUAGACAGAGCGAGAGAGCAUGGGAAAUGGAGAGA
rnacentral:pre_miRNA from 1 species